rnacentral:rRNA from 1 species
UACGGGGGGGGCAAGCGUUGUUCGGAAUUACUGGGCGUAAAGGGCUCGUAGGCGGCCAACUAAGUCAGACGUGAAAUCCCUCGGCUUAACCGGGGAACUGCAUCUGAUACUGGAUGGCUUGAGUUCGGGAGAGGGAUGCGGAAUUCCAGGUGUAGCGGUGAAAUGCGUAGAUAUCUGGAGGAACACCGGUGGCGAAGGCGGCAUUCUGGACUGCAACUGACACUGAAAGACGAAAGCCAGGGGAGCAAACGGG